rnacentral:rRNA from 1 species
ACAAGCGGAGGAGCAUGUGGUUUAAUUCGAUGCAACGCGAAGAACCUUACCUGGUCUUGACAUCCCGGAGACCCUUAGGAAACUAGGGGGUGCUUCCAUCUGGAAGAAUCUGGAGACAGGUGCUGCAUGGCUGUCGUCAGCUCGUGUCGUGAGAUGUUGGGUUAAGUCCCGCAACGAGCGCAACCCUUGCCUUUAGUUGCCAGCAGUUCGGCUGGGCACUCUAAAGGGACUGCCGGUGUUAAACCGGAGGAAGGUGGGGAUGACGUCAAGUCCUCAUGGCCUUUAUGACCAGGGCUACACACGUACUACAAUGGCCGAUACAAAGGGCAGCGACACUGCGAGGUGAAGCCAAUCCCGUAAAAUCGGUCUCAGUCCGGAUUGGAGUCUGCAACUCGACUGCGUGAAGUCGGAAUCGCUAGUAAUCGUGAAUCAGAAUGUCACGGUGAAUACGUUCCCGGGCCUU